rnacentral:tRNA from 4 species
GGGCCGGUGGCGGAAUGGCAAACGCGCACGCCUUAGGAGCGUGUGCCGCAAGGCUUGUGGGUUCGAGUCCCACCCGGCCCA